GAUGAAGGACGCAGCGAAAUGCGAUACGUAAUGUGAAUUGCAAAUUCAGUGAAUCAUCGAGUCUUUGAACGCACAUUGCGCCCCCUGGUAUUCCGGGGGGCAUGCCUGUCCGAGCGUCAUUGCUGCCCUCAAGCACGGCUUGUGUGUUGGGCCCCGUCCUCCGAUCCCGGGGGACGGGCCCGAAAGGCAGCGGCGGCACCGCGUCCGGUCCUCGAGCGUAUGGGGCUUUGUCACCCGCUCUGUAGGCCCGGCCGGCGCUUGCCGAUCAACCCAAAUUUUUAUCCAGGUUGACCUCGUAUCAGGUAGGGAUACCCGCUGAACUUAAGCAUAUCAAUAAGCGGAGGA
rnacentral:misc_RNA from 1 species